AUUGAACGCUGGCGGCAAGCCUAACACAUGCAAGUCGAACGAGUGGCGGACGGGUGAGUAAUGUCUGGGAAACUGCCUGAUGGAGGGGGACAACUACUGGAAACGGUAGCUAAUACCGCAUACCAUCGGAUGUGCCCAGAUGGGAUUAGCUAGUAGGUGGGGUAAAGUCUCACCUAGGCGAAGAUCCCUAGCUGGUCUGAGAGGAUGACCAGCCACAAUGGAACGGAGAAACGGUCCAGACGCGUACGGGAGGCAGCAGUGGGUAAUAUUGCACAAUGGGCGCAAGCCUGAUGCAGCCAUGCCGCGUGUAGGAAGAAGGCCUGCGGGUUGUAAAGUACUUUCAGCCGGGAGGCGUUACCCGCAGAAGAAGCACCGGCUAACUCCGUGCCAGCCGCCGCGGUAAUAC
rnacentral:rRNA from 1 species